rnacentral:rRNA from 1 species
UACGGAGGGUGCGAGCGUUGUCCGGAAUCACUGGGCGUAAAGGGCGCGUAGGCGGCUUCUUAAGCGGGCGGUGAAAGCCCGGGGCUCAACCCCCGGGUCGGCCGUGCGAACUGGGAAGCUCGAGCCCACUAGAGGCAGGCGGAAUUCCGGGUGUAGCGGUGGAAUGCGUAGAGAUCCGGAAGAACACCGGUGGCGAAGGCGGCCUGCUGGGGUGGAGCUGACGCUGAGGCGCGACAGCGUGGGGGAGCAAACAGG